CUUGCAGAAUCCCCCAGAGCACAGUUCCUCACUAUGAACUGGACCUGGAGAAUCCUCUUCUUGGUUGCAGCUGUGAAAAGUGUCCAUGGCCAGGUGCAGCUGGUGCAAUCUGGGGCUGAGGUGAGGAGGCCAGGGGCCUCUGUGAAGGUCUCCUGCAAGGCUUCUGGCUACACCUUCACAAACUACUUCAUGCACUGGGUGCAACAGAGUCCUGGACAGGGGCUGGAGUGGAUUGGGCGGAUUGACCCUAGUGAUGGAGAAACUAAAUAUGCUCAGAAGUUCCAGGGCAGGCUCAGCCUCACUGCAGAUACCUCCUCCACCACAGCCUACAUGGAGCUCAGUGAUCUGAGGUCUGAAGACACAGCCAUGUAUUACUGUGCGAGACACAGUGUGGUGAGCCACAUCCUGAGUGUGUCAGAAAGCCUGAAGGAGGAGCAGCUGCCUUGGGGUUGA